rnacentral:rRNA from 1 species
AACGAACGCUGGCGGCAUGCCUAACACAUGCAAGUCGAACGAGAUCUUCGGGUCUAGUGGCGCACGGGUGCGUAACGCGUGGGAAUCUGCCCUUUGGUUCGGAAUAACAGUUGGAAACGACUGCUAAUACCGGAUGAUGACGAAAGUCCAAAGAUUUAUCGCCAGAGGAUGAGCCCGCGUAGGAUUAGCUAGUUGGUGUGGUAAAGGCGCACCAAGGCGACGAUCCUUAGCUGGUCUGAGAGGAGGAUCAGCCACACUGGGACUGAGACACGGCCCAGACUCCUACGGGAGGCAGCAGUGGGGAAUAUUGGACAAUGGGCGAAAGCCUGAUCCAGCAAUGCCGCGUGAGUGAUGAAGGCCUUAGGGUUGUAAAGCUCUUAUACCCGGGAUGAUAAUGACAGUACCGGGAGAAUAAGCUCCGGCUAAAUCCGUGCCAGCCGCCGCAGUAA